UAAAAAGUAAGCUAAGACAAGCUCAUGGGUUCAUACCUCAUAUAUGGAAUACAUCCCUUUUUUAA
rnacentral:tRNA from 1 species